rfam:Frankia sp. BMG5.36 contig_62, whole genome shotgun sequence.
CGCGGGUGUCUCUUCACAACGGAUCGUCCGGCACGUACCUGCCGGUGGAGGGGAAACAAGA